UGACGUGACAGGCAAUGACUGUAUAAACUUCAUUCCUGAGCCAAGUGUGAAGGUGUCAGACACUGCCAGGGCAUGGAAGCCAAUGCAGGAACCCACCAGGCCCUCCUCCCUAGCUUCAACUACUGCUUGCAAGAGACUCUCAGGAUUGAGCCUGUUGAUAUCCCCAUGGAAGAAAGAGAUGGAGCAGCUCACUGAACCCUAAUCUGAAUUCCAGAUGUCCCUGCACCUCCAUCCCAGCUGUGGGUAAUUCUGUACAAGCUGCUCUCUGGAGGUAAUGAAGGCUCCACAACACGGACAGUCAGCUGCAGUGGAGCUCAACUACGGGGCUGAGACUUUUCAGUGGCAUGGCUACAUUGGGGUCACACCUUCUCCUGUAGUGACCCCCACUCAUGCUCUAUAAACUCUUUAGUUCCCCAACUCAAA